rnacentral:rRNA from 1 species
AUACGAAGGGUGCAAGCGUUAAUCGGAAUUACUGGGCGUAAAGCGCGCGUAGGUGGUUUUGUAAGUUGGAGGUGAAAGCCCCGGGCUCAACCUGGGAAUUGCCUCCAAAACUGCAUGACUAGAGUACGGUAGAGGGUAGUGGAAUUUCCUGUGUAGCGGUGAAAUGCGUAGAUAUAGGAAGGAACACCAGUGGCGAAGGCGACCUCCUUGACUUAAACUGACACUGAGGAGCGAAAGCAGGGGGAGCAAACAGGAUUAGAUUCCCUGGUAGUCCACGCCGUAAACGAUGUUAACUAGCCGUUGGGAUCCUUAAGAUCUUAGUGGCGCAGCUAACGCAUUAAGUUGACCGCCUGGGGAGUACGGCCGCAAGGUUGAAACUCAAAUGAAUUGACGGGG